GCCCUGCCCAGUGACCCUCCUCGCUCUGUGGAUGCCACACGUGCCGGUCUCCAGGAAGGAUGGAUGGGUCGCGUAGCUCCCACACCCAGCUGUCGCUCUUGUUUUCACCGGACACCAUGGGUGGGCGAGCCAGGGAAGCAGGCGCGGGCCGCGGUGCGGCAGGACGAAGCGGGCACCACUGCCCCGCACAGGGGGCUCCCUCGCCGGCCCGGGGCCCCUCCGCUCCCGCCAGGAACUGCGCCCUGGUCCCCAGCGCCCCAAGGAGCAGGUGGCGUUUGCACACAGGAAGCAGCUCACGUUGCGGUCCCCGCACAGCGUCCCCAGGCGCCUGCGGACCCGCCGCCCCGGCACGCCGGGCUCCUUCCCCGAGCGCCUCGAAUUUACACUCCUGGGCCUGGGGAGGUGACACCGACAGCUCCGCCUUCCGGCUGGGGGUUCGUCCUGCGGGCGCCAUCCACGUCCGCUUGUCUAUUUGGAGCGCGCCCCGCCCGACCCGAGCACAGGCCGGGCGCUCUCGGCCGCUGUGUCUCCACCGGGGCGCGCGUUUCCCCGCUCUCCGGGCGCCUCCCUCAGCCCCUGGUCAGGCUCCGAGCCCGCAGCGGGGAGACCGCCCGCCCCACCCCGGCCCACCGCGGCCCCGGACGGCCCGGCGCCCUGGGCGCCCCCCGCAGGCCGGGCACCUGCUGCGACUCCCUUUAGGAAGGUGCUGGGGACGCGCAGGGGAGGAGAAGAAACGCCAAGUGUUUACAUACAGUAAACAAAGGCCUGGCCGAGGUCUAGCAAAGGGAGUGUGUGCGAACCGGGGCGGUGGGGAGGUGGGAUCCCCCUGCGCCUUUCCUGCCCUCUGCGUCUGAGAAGGGCGAGUUUCCUGGUAGCUUGAAAUAGUCCUGCUCCCUCAACUUGUACCAACAUAAAUGUACGGGUUGGUGUUAUAAACACUUUCCCCUUCUUCAGCACUUACGGGGUCUCAGGAAACUCUGUCCGCCUCAAAAUAGGUACACGUAAGGGGGAAAAGCCUUAUUUCUAAUGAUUGAGGUGUGCUUUCUCUAGUUUUAUUUAAUUUAUUUUAUUUUGUUUUGUUUUUUGAGACAGAGUCUCACUGUCCUGUCCUAGGUAGAGUGCUGUGCCGUCAUAGCUCACAGCAACCUCAAACUCUUCCCCUACAGUAAUCCUCCUGCCUCAGCCUCCUGAGUAGCUGGGACUACAGGCACCUGCCACAACGCCUGGCUAGUUUUUCUAUUUUUAGUAAAGACAGGGUCUCCCUCUUGCUCAGGCUUGUCUGGAGCUCCUGACCUCAAGCAAUCCACCUGCUUUGGCCUGCCAGAGUUCUGGGAUUACAGACAUGAGCCACCACACGCGUUCUGAGGUCUGGGAAGGGGAGGACAGGAGGCCUUGGACAAUGCUGGGCUCAAGCUGGCCAGACCAUAUGGGCUGGAAUAAAACAU